GGAGGGUGCAAGCGUUAUCCGGAUUCACUGGGUUUAAAGGGUGCGUAGGUGGGUUGGUAAGUCCGUGGUGAAAUCUCCGAGCUUAACUCGGAAACUGCCGUGGAUACUAUCAAUCUUGAAUAUCGUGGAGGUAAGCGGAAUAUGUCAUGUAGCGGUGAAAUGCUUAGAUAUGACAUAGAACACCGAUAGCGGAGGCAGCUUACUACGCGAUAAUUGACACUGAGGCACGAAAGCGUGGGGAUCAAACAGGAUUAGAUACCCUGGUAGUCCACGCCCUAAACGAUGGAUACUCGACAUACGCGAUACACAGUGUGUGUCUGAGCGAAAGCAUUAAGUAUCCCACCUGGGAAGUACGACCGCAAGGUUGAA
rnacentral:rRNA from 1 species